rnacentral:tRNA from 1 species
GCGAAGGUGGCGGAAUUGGUAGACGCGCUAGCUUCAGGUGUUAGUGUCCUUAUGGACGUGGGGGUUCAAGUCCCCCCCCCUCGCACCA